rnacentral:rRNA from 1 species
CCUACGGGUGGCAGCAGUGAGGAAUAUUGGUCAAUGGACGAGAGUCUGAACCAGCCAAGUAGCGUGAAGGAUGACUGCCCUAUGGGUUGUAAACUUCUUUUAUAUGGGAAUAAAAUGUUCCACGUGUGGGAUUUUGUAUGUACCAUAUGAAUAAGGAUCGGCUAACUCCGUGCCAGCAGCCGCGGUACUACGGAGGAUUCGAGCGUUCUCCGGCUUUAUUGGGUUUAAGGGGAGCGUAGGUGGAUUGUUAAGUCAGGUGUGAAAGUUUGCGGCGCAACCGUAAAAUUGCAGUUGAAAAUGGCAGGCUUGAGUACAGUAGAGGUGGGCGGAAUUCGUGGUGUAGCGGUGAAAUGCUUAGAUAUCACGAAGAACUCCGAUUGCGAAGGCAGUUCACUGGACUGCAACUGACACUGAGGCUCGAAAGUGUGGGUAUCGAACAGGAUUAGAUACCCCGGUAGUC